rnacentral:rRNA from 1 species
UACGUAGGAUGCAAGCGUUGUCCGGAUUUAUUGGGUUUAAAGGGAGCGUAGGCGGCCUAUUAAGUUAGUGGUGAAAACGUUCGGCUUAACCGUAUACCCGCCAUUGAUACUGAUAGACUUGAGUGCGACAGAGGGUGUUGGAAUGUGUGGUGUAGCGGUGAAAUGCUUAGAUAUCACGCAGAACACCAAUUGCGAAGGCAGAUGCCUAUGUCGUAACUGACGCUGAGGCACGAAAGCGUCGGGAUCUAGCAGG